GACGAACGCUGGCGGCGUGCCUAAUACAUGCAAGUAGAACGCUGAAGAGAGGAGCUUGCUCUUCUUGGAUGAGUUGCGAACGGGUGAGUAACGCGUAGGUAACCUGCCUUGUAGCGGGGGAUAACUAUUGGAAACGAUAGCUAAUACCGCAUAACAAUGGAUGACACAUGUCAUUUAUUUGAAAGGGGCAAUUGCUCCACUACAAGAUGGACCUGCGUUGUAUUAGCUAGUAGGUGAGGUAACGGCUCACCUAGGCGACGAUACAUAGCCGACCUGAGAGGGUGAUCGGCCACACUGGGACUGAGACACGGCCCAGACUCCUACGGGAGGCAGCAGUAGGGAGUCUUCGGCAAUGGGGGCAACCCUGACCGAGCAACGCCGCGUGAGUGAAGAAGGUUUUCGGAUCGUAAAGCUCUGUUGUAAGUCAAGAACGAGUGUGAGAGUGGAAAGUUCACACUGUGACGGUAGCUUACCAGAAAGGGACGGCUAACUACGUG
rnacentral:rRNA from 1 species